CAGCACCUCAAGUGGUCAGGGUGAUUAUUGGGCCUAAAGCAUCCGUAGCCGGCGCUGUAAGUUUUCGGUUAAAUCUGUACGCUCAACGUACAGGCUGCCGGGAAUACUGCAGCGCUAGGGAGUGGGAGAGGUAGACGGUACUCGGUAGGAAGGGGUAAAAUCCUUUGAUCUAUUGAUGACCACCUGUGGCGAAGGCGGUCUACCAGAACACGUCCGACGGUGAGGGAUGAAAGCUGGGGGAACAAACCGGAUUAGAUACCCGAGUAGUCC
rnacentral:rRNA from 1 species